GAAGAAUCCUAGAAUCCUGGCCAUCCCUCACCUCUGUGGAAUCAGCAGCUCCAGUGUGGAUAUCAGAUCUGUACUGAGAGACAUCACCACUGAGCUACGCCUGGCCCAUUAUGGUGAAGGACCUACGCUGGCUCCCUGACCUUCCAACACCUUACCCUGCCCUGCCAGGAGCCGCACAGGACCCUGCUGCAAUUCCUCUUGGGAACCACUACCAGGCUGGGAUGGACCGCCUGCCGCUGUUCCUGGCGGUGGUGGCUAGCGAGCUGCAGAUGUGCGGCAUCCUGAGGGGAACGGAGGAGGAGUUGAUAGAGGAGUAUGUGGAAGUGGAUUCUAUGGCAGAGCUGUGAGCCAAGGUGAUUCAGCGCUGGAUCAAUGACUAUGGCGGGGUCAGUGAGGGUACGGCCAGUCCAGCCAGCGCUGGAUAAAUGACUAUGGCGGGGUCGGCCAGUCCAGCCAAAGGAACAGGAGGGCCUACCUCUCAGGUGUCCAACAAAGAUCUCAGAGACUGGAUAUGAGACGCUCUCUGCCUCGUUCACCUCUCCCAUGCUGGGCUGACUGAGGAGCAGGUCUUGGUCCUGCUGGAGGUUCUU
ensembl:lncRNA